rnacentral:lncRNA from 1 species
UGGGAUGGAAUAUAAUAAAAUGAAUAUAGUAAAGGUAUCUGAAAAUCAAAAAGACUGUUAUUAACCCACUGAGAAAAAUAUAAUUUGUUUUUUUUUAUAAAUUUUUGAUAUAUUAAUAUAUAUUUGACUUGUAUGAGAAAUUUCUUUUAACAAAUAUUGUUAAGUUUAUUUAUAAAUAUAUUAAUUAUCAAUCUACCAAAAUAGUUAAGCAAGUAUUAUUUCUUUUCCUUUUUUAAUUUUCUAUCAAACUAUUAUCAAUUUUUUUUAAAAAAAAAAAUCAGUUUGUGACAGAUAUUUUAUUAUUAGAAAUCCAUACAAUUUAAAUAAUGUUACAUUUAUAUGUAUUUAUGUAUAAAAUGGUCUUCAUAAUUUGGGAUUUUGUAAAAAAAGGGUCUAAAGUUAAUUUGGUUAAUUUUUUUUUCUGUAACAAAAGUUAAUUAGAUUUAUAAUUUUCUUUUAUGAAUGGGUUGUAUCAGUUAAAUUAUUUUUUUUAAAUUAAACGCCCAAAGCCCAAUUAAUAAUAUUUAUUUUGCUGAUAACAAAGUGAUAUUAAAUAGGGAUAACAUAUAAUAUAUAAGGAAGACCAAAAAAAAAAAGGUCCAAACAAUUUUUUUAAGUAGAUUUAUUAAAACUCAUUCCUUUUUAAUAGUAUUGAUAUUGUAAAUAUUUUGGUAACUUGUAAUUUUAAAGCAAAUUUGUUUGACAAAGGUUACUUUCGUUCAUGAGAAGCGUUCCCUGUCCAAUUGCAACAACAAGGGUAGACGAAAGCGUGUCCCCAAAUAUUCAAAUUUGCUAUUUUUAUGUAAUUGUGUAUUUCUUUUUUUUUUUUUUUUUUUUUAACUUUAAAUUUUAUUUAUAUAACAAUUGUCUCCAGAUUACAGCACUCUGUUCAGAUCACAAACCAAUC